rnacentral:rRNA from 1 species
UGGGGAAUUUUGCGCAAUGGGGGAAACCCUGACGCAGCAACGCCGCGUGCGGGAUGAAGGCCUUCGGGUUGUAAACCGCUUUCAGUAGGGAAGAAAAUGACGGUACCUACAGAAGAAGCUCCGGCUAACUACGUGCC